AAAGAGUUUCAGAGUUAUUUGAGGAGCAGGGAUGCCCACGGGCUCCAACCAAUGCCAUCGUUACUUGUUUUGUGUUUUGUUUUAAUUAUUAGCGAUGCCGUUGGAUGAGACUUGGUUGUUUCAUAUAAAAGAAAAAGAAUUUUCUCUGAGGGAGCCAGGAGCAGCACUCCAAUCCUCAGGGUUGUUUAUUUUAAAUGGGGCUCUGCACGGCGUUAUUUUUGACAGGUGUCGAUGACCCUUCGGGUUCUUUUAAAGUUAUAUUUUUAUUUACAUUCCUGUGUGAGGGGAGGGGAGAGGAGGGAAGAGGAUGGGAGGAGCGUCCUGUGUGCAUGCCUGCAAGUGCACCAAUGUUCAGCAGAGGGCACUGAAUACUGGUGAACUAGGGUAACAGAUGGUUGUGAGCUGCCUGAACAGAGUACUUCAAAACAAAUUUGUCAGGUCCCAGAAAAUCUGAUGGCCUUUGUAAGCCCCUCCUGAAUCUGCAGGGAAUCUGAAUCCAUUUCCAUCGUCUGGACAGAGACAAAGGAAGGAAAGGAGCAACCUACGGUAGUUAUGAAACCACUGGCUUAACAUUCGAGACACUGCCGCCAACACCAGAGGCUGUUUGUUCCUGAUUUCUGUUUAAGGCCUUGGCUGUGUUUCAUAAGCAGUUCUGGGAAAUUAUGGAGCAGCUGCCAAGCUCCAGAUCAUGGGAUACAGACAAGGAUAGCUGUGCUACCCUCGACAAGAAGUGUAUAUUCUAAAGGGUGUCAGCUACCCUUAAAUGGAAAUGAAUGAGUUUUCCAGGCUCUAGAAUAACCUACAGUUGUUACCCUGAGAAAAUCCCUUUAGAGAUUCAAAGUUAUUUAACCCAAUUGCAUCCCUGGCAUUUAAACUGUCAUUUUUGCCUCUGUAAAUCACAGAUUCCACCCCUGCCCAACACUGGCCUUGUAUGCUUUCCUUUGAAGCCCUUGAUUACCCCCUCUUUGCUCCAAGAAUGCUGUGCUGUAUCUCUGCAAAAUCAGAAUGCCUGCCUUCAAGGUCUACCAUCAGCACAAACUGUCCUUGGAUCAGCUUGAAGGAGGGCUGCAUGUAAGUGGCACAUAAAAUAAACUAUCACCAAGUCCACUUUGUCAAGUUAAUACUUUGUGUGUAUCUCUUAUUAAUCAGUAUUUUAGUCUCUGAGGUUAAUGAUCAAGCCACAGAUGUGCUGCACCUUCCCCAGUAUAUGCAUCCUAUAUACUAUAUCAUAAAAUUAAUAAUAUUUCAAUACUAAAGUAAAAUCAAUACAUCUUAUGUUGUAUGAUAAAGUAAAGAGAAAACAAAAGAAAGAUAUUUAUUCAUUAUACAUUACAUGUGUUCACAAUACCAAUUCUGUUUACUGAGCAUAUGGUCAUGGUCACUAUUUACAACUCCUUUGUUUUACAGUAUAAAGAAAGAUGUAUGUAUAACUAAAUAGUCCUAUUGAGGUGUGGUUCAUCGCUGCCCUGUUGACCGACCUUUGUCUCCAUCUCUCCUGUAAUGUGGUUGAAUAACUUGCCAGAACUGUGUGAAAUCCCUUCCUAUUGUCAAGCUCUUCCUCUGGCAGGUGCUAUGACCUCAGCUUUUCCCUUCCUAUUAUAUGGAAUUCCUGGGAAAGUGUAAUUAUUUGUAUGUUUUGUUACAAUAGUAUGGUACCUGAUGGAAAGGUUAACACUGUUUUUGUUAUUGUUGCUAUUUGGUUUGUUUGUUUGAUUGUUUGUUUCUAGAAUAUCUCCUUUCCUGUCAAGAAACAUGGAACAUUAGGGAGAUUCUAAUUAAACAAAAACAUUUGAAAGAUUUCAAUAAAAAUGUCCUGUGUCUAUCAUACUUUCCUACAUUGUUAGGACAUGUUUCCUAAAACAUAAGCAAAGUUCCCUGCCAUAAGUCACACAUGGUGAUGUAUGCAAGUCUGUAUAGAGUUGUGCCUAGAAAUCCAUAUAUAUGCUCCUAGCUGGGAACCAGAUUAGCGGGGUUACACAAUGGCACCUAGAACUAAGUAUCAGGUGCUACACAAGUACACUACAGAAGAUCAAAUCGAACACAAGACAGUGAUAAAUAUCAUGCCUUCAUUUGGAUUCUUCUGAAGUAUAAAUGGCCAUUUGUUAUUGGAGUUAAUGAGGUGGUGGUCGAACUCAGCAUGAGAAAGUUUGCCUGCAAGCCAAGCCUGGUGUCACUGGUUUCUAUCCAUACCUGAGAAGCUGAGCCAGGAGAAUGGCUGUUGAAAGACUGACUGCCUGACCACAGAGCAAGCACAAAGCCAUCCUGUGCAAUUUAGUGAAGUCCUUACUGAAAAAAGGUAAGGCAAGGUCUGGGGAUACAGGACUGUGAUGGCCUAGUAAGCACAUACUUGUCUAGUAUGCACAAGGCCCUAGAUUCAAUCCCUAGUGCUUAUAUAAGGCGGGGGGGGGGGGGCUAGAAAAAAAGGAAGAAAGGAGGGAAAAAGGAAGAAAGAGAGGGAAUAAACAACAGAAAAAAAGAAAAUGUUGGCUCCAUACCAUACCAAUCUCUGAAAAGGAAAUUUCUUGGAAAAAUUAGAUUGUCUUGAUCAUAUUUCACAUGAGAUAAUCUUACAGAAAAUAUUCUUUCACAGAAAACCCUGCCUAUGAUCUAAAUUCAUUGCCAAAAACAAAAUUGCAUUGCUUAACAGAUGAUGAAAGCACCUGUGUAGUCAAUUAUGAUCCCAUCCAAGACCGAACUUGUUGUCUAAUCACCUCCCUUAAGCUACAAGUUACUGCUUGCUUGCUUGGCUUGACUUUUGUUUUGCAGAGAGACCUUGAAAAUUAACAGAGCGUGAUUAGUGAUGUUGAAUACGUUCUCAUACAUCUGUCCUCCGUUUGCAUGUCUUUUGAAUAAGCAUCUGUUCAAGCCCUCUACUUCUCUAUUAAUCUGGUUACUUACCCCUUGCUACCUCAAAAGGGUAUAAAGUAUUGUGAUGGUUUGUCUUGAUGGCUACUUGACUGGAUUGAUAGAACUGAUGAAACACACUUGUGCUUCUGUGAGUGUUUCAACAGCAGAGUGCUCUGUGGGAAAAUAGUAACAUGGCUAAAGGAAUACACCUUCAAUAUGUACAUAAAUUCCACCAAGUGGCUGCAUGGAAAAGCAAAAAUAAAGGAGUUAGCUACACUGAAAA